UGGGGAAUUUUGCACAAUGGGGGAAACCCUGAUGCAGCGACGCCGCGUGAUUUAGAAGGCCUUCGGGUUGUAAAAAUCUUUUCUAUGGGAAGAAAAUGACAGUACCAUAGGAAUAAGGACCGGCUAAUUACGUGCCAGCAGCCGCGGUAAUACGUAAGGUCCGAGCGUUUUCCGGAAUCAUUGGGCGUAAAGGGUACGUAGGCGGGUAAGCAAGUUAGGAGUGAAAUCCUAUAGCUCAACUAUAGUAAGCUUUUAAAACUGCUCAUCUUGAGGUAUGGAAGGGAAAGGGGAAUUCCUAGUGUAGCGGUGAAAUGCGCAGAUAUUAGGAGGAAUACCGGUGGCGAAGGCGACUUUCUGGCCAUAACCUGACGCUGAGGUACGAAAGCGUGGGUAGCAAACAGG
rnacentral:rRNA from 1 species